AUGCUCAUCAAUGGGUCUCUGGGUGCGAUGCUUAUCAAUGGUUCUCUUGGGUGCAAUGAUUAUUGAUGAGUCUUUGAGUGCGAUGCAUUAAUCCUCUGGCAUUGGUGAAAAAGGAGGAGGAGAAGAUUAACAAGUGAGAUGGGUGAGGGAGGGAUAGAGGCUUGCAAAUAGAUUACUUUUAGAUCAUAACGUAGGUGGGUGAAACCCAAACUAUAGAUUUGCAAAUCCAUUCAGUUAUGGAUAAAAGAAAUUUAACGUUCUUGCGCAUAGUGAUUUA
rnacentral:misc_RNA from 1 species